GGGACGAACGCUGGCGGCGUGCUUAAUACAUGCAAGUCGAACGAGGCUCUACCGGUGGCAACACCGGGAACGGCCUAGUGGCGAACGGGUGAGUAACACGUGAGGAACCUGCCCCGAAGACCGGGAUAACCCUCCGAAAGGAGAGCUAAUACCGGAUACCCCCACCAAGUCGCAUGGCCUGGUGAGGAAAUGGAUUCCGCUUCGGGAGGGCCUCGCGGCCUAUCAGCUUGUUGGUGGGUAACGGCCCACCAAGGCAUCGACGGGUAGCUGGUCUGAGAGGACGAUCAGCCACACUGGGACUGAGACACGGCCCAGACUCCUACGGGAGGCAGCAGUAGGGAAUCUUGCGCAAUGGGCGAAAGCCUGACGCAGCAACGCCGCGUGGGGAUGAAGGCUCUCGGGUUGUAAACCCCUUUCAGUAGGGACGAAAUUGACGGUACCUACAGAAGAAGCCCCGGCCAACUACGUGCCAGCAGCCGC
rnacentral:rRNA from 1 species